GUGUCACUACGAUGACUUGCAAGCAACUCACUAUGCUUGGGUGUUGGACUAUCUAAAUUUUUAAUUUAGUAAUGAAAGAUUUUUGGGCAUAGUCAAGUACUUAUGAAGUUGGUGUGUGAGUCAAGAUAGAAUUUACCCCUCCGAAUAAGUAGGAGUUAAUGUAUCAGUGUGUUUUAAUUCAAUAAAACUUUGGUCGGAGUAAUCCAUGUGAUGAAUUUUGAAAAUUAAAAUAUAAUGCAGAUGAUCAUAUCAAGGUUGGCAGUUAAAAUUCUAAGUCACCUUGAGUAUUUGGAUCAAAGGG
rnacentral:lncRNA from 1 species